rnacentral:lncRNA from 10 species
AAAGGGGGACUGUUAGCACUGUAGGAUUGAGGAGAUGGAAGAGACCUUUAAGACAGCUGGCCAUUAUGCUGACUGGGUGUCUGCACUAAGUUUGGCAUCAAUAUGGUGACCUCCUGGGAGCGGGGGACCACCAGGUUGCCUAAGGAUGGGAGAACUGGCCCAGGUCAGAAAUGGAGCAGGUCAGAAUUCCUGCACCAAUCGGUAGUGGGACUGUGCCUGGGCAAUAUAGCAAGAUCUUGGUUCUUAAAAGUAAAAAUAAAGAACAGCUCAUUC